GACAGUGAAAACUAACGAUACGGAAAAGCAAACGCACUGCAAUUCCGAGGAGGGCCGACGCAUGGAAACGGAUUCUCGUCGAGACUUGCCCGUUUCCGUUUCCUGUGUGCCAGCGAAGCCCGCCUUGGAGUCCCCGGGUGGAGGAUAGAGGAUGGAGGGCACUAUUCGCCGAUGUGCUCGGCAUUAAUGCACUGACAAUUGCUUGGAUGGCAGCGAGUGAGCCACUUAAAUUAAUUUAAUGUUCCCACUCGCGGUUUCGAGUGCCGGAAUUAUGCGAAUGGAGUGCCGCAGCCAAGUUUAUUUAUUUUGGGGCCAAGGGGAUGAUUAUCGCCGAGAUAAGUUGGUUAACUAGGCAGGGAAAACCCCGUUUAUUCGUUUUCAGAAGACAUGAGUCACUACUCAGUUGGAUUCGUCUGGACCAAUUGCUUACAAGUGUAUUUAAGGACUGCCACUUUUGAAUUUGAUUUGCUGAAGACUGAAGACUGAAGAACUCUUCUGGCUUGAAAAUACAGGAAAGCAUUGUCUAUAACUUUCUAACA